AGGGGCGAGGCGGCUGGGGACUAGAAAAAGCAGCAGGGAAUUAACGUGACAGUCAGAGCCCAGCCAGUGCCUCGCCGGCGCUGCUCUCUCGCCUCGCGGUUGCGGGGUCCGGAAUGGAGAGAGGAGGCGGGGGCUGAGCGUUGGCUGCCGGAGACCAGCUGAGGAGAUUUUAGAACACAAACAUAGAUACAUGUGGAUAGCAGCCAAUACAGAGAGAGGGAGAGAGAAAAAGGAGGGAUCAGAAGCUAUAUUUGUAACUUUUGAUUAGUGAACUACAGAAGGAAGCCUAACACUGCAGGACCAUGACCUUCACAUCUACUUUAGUGGCCCCUCUGGGUCAGAGAUGGAUGAAAUGGAAAUGCAUUUCUCUGAGCCCAGGAAUUGAGUUUCUGAAAUCUGAAUCACUGGGGUGCCUGAAACUCUGCUGUCUAAUGGAUGAAUGGGUCGAAAAUGUGAAGAUAUGAUUACCAUGAAUCCUUUGUACAAGGUGAUCCAGUUAACUACUAAUAACAAACCAUCCUUAAACUUCUUGGCUUAAGAUAACAGCCAUCAUUUAUUUAGCCUGAAUCUAAAAUUUGGACAAGGCUCACUGAGUAAUGCGCACCUCUGAUCCACUUCCCACAUGGCUCGCCAUAUACCUGACAGGCUGUGUUGGCUGUUGGCUAUUGGUUGAGCAUCCGACAGGAGUUGAGAACCAGGGACCUUAGUUUCUCUCCAUGCGGGGCUCUCCCUGUGCAUCACACCAUAGGUUCUCAAAGACUUCCUCACCGCAUAGCGGUUGGGUUCACCAGGAGAGCUCCAACAGGGGUCAGACCCUUUCCAGAUAAUGAAAACCUGAACAAUUUAGCCUUAUCAAUUGUACAAAUUCAUCCAGUCUUCAAACAGUAUCAUAAAUUUUAGCCCAGAACACACCAGGCAAACUGAACCAGUGAACUAACGAAUCAUUUGAACGAUUUAGGCAAAUGGAUCAAUUUUUCUUUUAUAUGUUGAGAUAAUUUCAUCAACAAUUGGAGUCUUAGUCAAUUAAAUGAAUUCACAAUAGUUUCUAUAUUAAAAAAAUUAAUGAUGUCUUCACAUAGGGAAGACUAAAUUUCUCAUGGUAUUUUUAAAGGCCUCUGCAAUUUAACUCUCUUCCCAGUCCUAUCUCAUCACCUCCUCUAGUCUCUCAUAUUUAUCCAUCUUACCUGAGCCUUGUUUUGACUUGUAUUAGGGCUGAAUGUUGAGAAGUCUCCCUUUCUUACUAGACUCUAAGUUCCUUGAGAGCAGAGACUUUUUCAGUUUAUGUCCCCACAACCCUCAGCCCUGAGACAUGCAUGAAGUAUGUGCUUGAUAUACCUUUACUGAAAAAAUGAAUAAUUCAACAUCCCUUGGCUUUCUAAUUCAAUCAUUCAUUUUCCAAAAUGGCAAUAUUGGUCAUGAGUUACUUCACAGGGAAGCUAAUUAAUUCCCUGAAACUGGAAAAUGUUUUGAAGUUCCACAGUACUUUAGAAGCACACAGGAACAUUAAUAUGUGUAAUACAUACAUUAUUAUUACUUCCCUGACACAUAAAUGGUAAAUAAUCCCUUUUUAGUGUGUUUGUUUUGGAUGUACUGGACAAAUUUGCAGAAAGUAAUGUAUUGUUGGCUCAUUUCUACUAAUGGACACCUGUGUGGACUGAAUAAGAUGUGGUCUCUUCUAGCUCUAUUAUUUGUUUAUUUCUCCAACUUUCAGAGCCACUAUUUAUACAUGCUUCUUGCCAGAAAGGUGACCAUGACAUGAGAAUCGGCCUUCUUGGGGUUCUAUGUCUUAACAGAUAGUACGGGUACCUAUACAAUUCUAGGAGUGCCCCAGCCACAUAAUUACUGUGAUGUAACUACAAAGCUGCAUGAUCUAAUAGAGAAUCCUUGCCCCAAAGUGGAACUGUCUCUCCUCUGGAAAUUUUGUAUAAGAAAACUGGGAGGGUUGGGUUAACCUCUCUGGUAGCUAAAGCUGCAAGAUUUAAAUCAUAGGUGCAAUGAGCAGGUAUACUGUCUGCCAUGUGGAGAAAGCCAUACUGCAGUAUGAGUGAUAAAGCUGCCACACAGGUACAGACGUGAGAGACAGGGCAAUUCCCUGUAGCUUCUAUGCCCCUGGAUACAGCUAUUUAAAGGUCCAGCCAUGUCUCUGUUCUUCCCAUAGCUUUUUAUAUAUCCACUCAUUUCAAUAAGUUUCCCUUUUUACUUAAAGUCAUUCAAAUUUUCUUUCCAUCAUUUGGGACCCAAAAAAUUUCAACUAAUGCAACAUCAAAGAAAGAUUUGAGGAAUGACUCUCAGAAAAUGUUUAAUUAAAAGUUGGAGAGAAGUAUUUUGGGAUGCUUUGAUAUAAGGCUUACAUUUUUCAAAGUUAAAAGCCCAAAAGCAACAUAAACUGAACUAUUUUUCCAGACAGUAAAAAUAGGACCUUAAAUGUGAAAACAUGAUCCCAGUGUUUGUAAUUUACUAGAAUGUAGACUUCAUGAAGGCAGAGAUUUGGAUCCUUUGCUACUAUAUUCCAACAACUAGAAUAGAAUUCUACGUAGGGUAGGAUAUUAAUAUUUAUUGAAUAAGUUGAUGUAUUUCCUUGUUGCAUCUCUUUCUUAAUCCCAGUAGGAAUAUGAAAAAUUCUCAUUUAUUGAACUCAUGCUAUAAAACAGCCAUCGUGCUAAAAUGUUGUCAAAAUUUCAUUUUUUACCAGAUGUUGGGGUGGGGAUGGAGGGCAACUGUUCUCAUAGAUAAAACAGUUUGCUCAAGGGCACACAGGUUCUAUAUAUUGAGGCUAGGGGUUAAACCCAGGAUCACCUGUCUCCAAAACAUGUGUUUUUUCUACCAUCCCACAAUCACAUAUUAAUGUGUUCCUUUAUAGGGCAGAAAUCUUUCCUGAGGUAUUAAGAUGUAAGGCGUAGAGCUAGACUGGUAUUUUGCUUCAUAUAUAAUUGCAGCUUUAAAUAUCAAGGGUUUAAUGAAUAAAGAAUUAGUUCCCAUUUUAUAGACAAGUAAGUGGAGGUCUAUGGUGUUGCCUCAGUAUUCAUCAAUGUCUUCUCUGAAAGUCUUAUUAUGAGGAUGGAAGCUCCACUCUUGCUCCUCUUGCCUCCCCAUGAAGAGACUUCAUAACAUCUUAGUCUCUUGUAGCUGUUGCUGCUCUACCACACAGCUUCCAACUGCAAGGAAGCACCUGCUUCUCUAUGCCUGGUCUUUUGACGAGUGCCAGGGGACUUACUGCUCCAUUACCAAUAACUGAUGAGAAAUGAUGGAUAAAUAUCCCACAUGCAACUCCUCUUUUGAGAUGUCUCUAAGGCAUGUUGUACACUGUGCCCCAGAAGUCCUGUAUAUGAUUAAGCACUCGUUACACACAACACUAGCUUGCCCAAAAGCGAACCCUUUAUUGGCUUCUUUCCCAUCCUUGUCUCACUGCCCUAACUCUACCAGAAUUUUCCAAAUAAAUUUCUUGAAUUCACACCCUUAUCCCAAAGGUUUGCAUCUGGGAUACCCCCAACUAAGGCAUCUCUCUGGCCCAUUCACUCUUGAACUCUAAAAGAGAGGGUCAAAUUACCUGAUUGAUCAGUUUAAAAGAAGACACUGAAAAUUAUCCUUACAUUUAUCUCUUUUGAAGAUAUCAAGUACAUAGGACACAAACGUGUUCAGACUGCACCCUGCCAUGUGCUUAAGGACUUGCACUUUGGGGAAGGUCUUAGUCACUGAAUGAACAAGUCAGUUUACUUCAAAAGUAAGGUAUUAGGACAUAUCAAAGUCCUUAUAGAUCUAAAAUCACGUUUCCAAUCAACUUUAUUUGCAAUACAGUGGACAUUUUAAUUUCCAUCAAAAUUAGCUUCACAUGAUUCAUAAUAGCCAAAAGGUAGAAACAACCCAAAUGUCUCCAUCAACUGACAAAUGGAAAGAGAAAAUAUAUUAUAGCCAUAUAAUGAAAUAUUACUUGGCCAUAAAAAGAGAUGAAGUACUGAUACAUGCUAUAGCAUGGAUAGACCAUGAUACUAUGGUAAGUAGAAUAAGAAGCCAGUCACAAAAGAUCACAUAUUGUGUUAUUCUAUUCACAUGAAAUGUCUGGGACAGAGAAAUUUACAGAGACAGAAAGUAGAUUAGUGGUUGCUUAGGGCUGUGGUAUGAGUUGGAGAUGAAAAACAUGAUAACUAAAGAGUGUGAGGUUUCCUUUUGAGGUGAUAAAAAUGUUUUAACAUUGACUGAAGUGUUGGUUGUCCUAUAUCUAUCAAUAAAAGCCAUUGAAGUGUA
rnacentral:lncRNA from 1 species